rnacentral:rRNA from 1 species
AUGGUUUUUUAUCAGAAUCUUGAAAGGAUUAUGUUGCUAUACUAUUUUUCAAAUUUGAACAAACUUAAAUCAUGUUUGCUUCAAAUUUACAGAAAACACCCUUUUGUUUUGAAUUUUUUGUAUAUUUUUCAUACCUUGGCCAAUCAAGACAAAUUUUAUAUCUACAUCCAUCAGAUUGUUUCAAGGAUUGUGGUGGCAGGCGCAAACACCCGGCAACCGGCUCCGGAGUGUGACUCCUUCAUGGAUGGCGAUGCCGUCGACACUUGGAGGGGGAAAACGGCCACGUUGGGUCGAGACGGAGGGAAUCUUAUGGUGGGUUUGGCCCAAACCUUGUUCUCAAGUGUUCCUAUGGGCUGA